UGUCUGUAUGCCAUUAUGAAUGUAUGUGUGUAUGGAUGUCAGUGUCUGUAUGUCUGUCAGUAUGUCUGUAUGUAUGUAUGUGUGUGUGUAUGUAUGUAUGUCGCUGUCUGUAUGUAUGUAUGUGUCUUUAUGUCCUCAUGCAUGUGUGUCUGUAUGUAUGUUAGUAUGUGUCUGUCUGUCACUAUGUAUGCCUGUGUGUAUGUCUCAGUAUGUGUGUGUCAGUAUGUAU